rnacentral:rRNA from 1 species
UAACGCGUGGGAAUCUGCCUAUCAGUGGGGAAUAACGACGGGAAACUGUCGCUAAUACCGCAUACGCCCUUAGGGGGAAAGAUUUAUCGCUGAUAGAUGAGCCCGCGUACGAUUAGCUAGUUGGUGAGGUAAUGGCUCACCAAGGCUACGAUCGUUAGCUGGUCUGAGAGGAUGAUCAGCCACACUGGGACUGAGACACGGCCCAGACUCCUACGGGAGGCAGCAGUGGGGAAUAUUGGACAAUGGGCGAAAGCCCGAUCCAGCAAUGCCGCGUGAGUGAUGAAGGCCUUAGGGUUGU